rnacentral:rRNA from 1 species
AUCGAACGCUGGCGGCAGGCCUAACACAUGCAAGUCGAACGCCCCGCAAGGGGAUGGGCCGACGGGUGAGUAACGCGUGGGAAGCUACCCCGUGCUACGGAACUACUGAGGGAAACUUCAGCUAAUACCGUAUACGCCAUACGGGGUAAAGCUUUAUCGGAAUUGGAGGAGCCCGCGUUGGAUUAGCUAGUUGGUGGGGUAAUGGCCUACCAAGGCGACGAUCCACAGCUGGGCUGAGAGGAUAAGCAGACACACAGGGGCCGAGACACGGCCCAGACUCCUACGGGAGGCGGGAGUGGGGAAUAUUGGACAAUGGGCGAAAGCCUGAUCCAGCCAAGCCGGGUGAGUGAUGAAGGCUUUAGGGUUGUAAAGCUCUUUCAGUGGGGAAGAUUAUGACGGUACCCACAGAAGAAGCCCCGGCUAACUUCGUGCCAGCAGCCGCGGUAACAC